ACUCCUGCGGGAGGCAGCAGUGGGGAAUAUUGGACAAUGGGCGCAAGCCUGAUCCAGCCAUGCCGCGUGAGUGAUGAAGGCCCUAGGGUUGUAAAGCUCUUUCACCGGUGAAGAUAAUGACGGUAACCGGAGAAGAAGCCCCGGCUAACUUCGUGCCAGCAGCUGCGGUAAUACGAAGGGGGCUAGCGUUGUUCGGAUUUACUGGGCGUAAAGCGCACGUAGGCGGACUAUUAAGUCAGGGGUGAAAUCCCGGGGCUCAACCCCGGAACUGCAUUUGAUACUGGUAGUCUUGAGUUCGAGAGAGGUGAGUGGAAUUCCGAGUGUAGAGGUGAAAUUCGUAGAUAUUCGGAGGAACACCAGUGGCGAAGGCGGCUCACUGGCUCGAUACUGACGCUGAGGUGCGAAAGCGUGGAGAGCAAACGGGAUUAGAAACCCUGGUAGUCCCAUGAU
rnacentral:rRNA from 1 species